CAAGUCGGACGAGAAAGGAGACUUCGGUCUCUGAGUACAGUGGCGCACGGGUGCGUAACACGUAAGUAAUCUACCCCCGAACUCUGGGAUAACCCUCCGAAAGGAGGGCUAAUACUGGAUAGGGUCCCCGAGGUGUAGGCCGCGGGGGGAAAACGGGCCUCUGUUUCAUGCUCGUGGUUUGGGAUGAGCUUGCGGCCCAUUAGCUGGUUGGUAGGGUAACGGCCUACCAAGGCAACGAUGGGUAGCUGGUCUGAGAGGAUGAUCAGCCACACUGGCACUGAGACACGGGCCAGACUCCUACGGGAGGCAGCAGUGGGGAAUUUUGCGCAAUGGGCGAAAGCCUGACGCAGUAACGCCGCGUGGAGGAUGAAGGCCUUCGGGUUGUAAACUCCUGUCAGGAGGAACGACGGGGAAAGGGUGAUAAAUCCUUUCCUCCAGACGGUACCUCCAAAGGAAGCCCCGGCUAAUUCCGUGCCAGCAGCCGCGGUAAUACGGAAGGGGCGAGCGUUGUUCGGAAUCAUUGGGCGUAAAGGGCGCGUAGGUGGUUCUGUAUGUCUACCGUGAAAGCGUACGGCUCAACCGUAUUUUGUCGGUAGAAACUGCAGGACUUGAGGCUGGGAGGGGCUGGUGGAAUUCCCUGUGUAGCGGUGAAAUGCGUAGAGAUGGGGGGAGAACACUCGUGGCGAAGGCGGCCAGCUAGACCAGUUCUGACACUGAGGCGCGACAGCGUGGGGGAGCAAACAGGAUUAGAUACCCUGGUAGUCCACGCUGUAAACGAUGGGCACUAGGUGCCGGCGGUCUUGAUCCCGUCGGUGCCGGCGCUAACGCAU
rnacentral:rRNA from 1 species